CAGACAGAAGGAUGUAAAGGAUGGAA
rnacentral:piRNA from 1 species